AUAGAGCCACAGAGCAGACGUAUAUGAAAUACCAUGGCUCUAUAUCUGAUCCCACAGUCCAUAUGUCCUGCACGCAACUGAAACCUACACUGUCGCUGUUAUAGACAGCAGCUCCAGCUAUGCCUUGCGCACCUAAGCCAAUCAAAAGCAGUCUCUCAGGCCCAUGGACCUGUUGGCGCUCUGAUCUUGGCUUUUUAAAGGAGAUGCAGUGGGAAUGGGUGUGUUAAAGGGUGCGUACAUAAAGAGAGAGGGAGAGAGAGAGAGAGAGUAAGGGAGGGUCGUGUUUCAGUCCUCAGCUGUGCUCUCCUCUCACCUCCCACCCUGACACGCCACGGAUGCAUGCUAUUAUCAUUGAACUCUCAGCUAUUAUUAGAUGCCAUUUCUGUCCAUCUGAAGUUUUCCUCUCAUGCACUCCCUGUUUCCUUCAGCACACACAGCUGUCAGUCUUUGAGAUGGGAGCCAAAGGACUUAUCCAUUAAUACAGAAUCAAGCCCUGGGUGAGAGUCCUUCAUGGGUGCAAAAUGAGUGGCUCCAAUCCAAAGCAAGGCGACAAUACUCGUCCCCGUGUACCAAGCAUGAAGGAUAACAAUGGUGACUGAUGGUGGAAAUCGUGAAUGGCCCUAUUUAGAGCCAGUGUUUGGUUUGUCCAUUCAGGGCUACUGUAGAAACAACACGGUGGACUUCACUGAAGACAACCUGCUCCAUAUGAAGAUACCAGCUGAUAAUUGCUGCUGCCAUUACUGUGUCUUAAAAUCACAACGUGUCGCAGUGGUGUGGUGGUGUUGUUGCCUGUAGUGCUGCCCACUACAGGGCACCUGACAUACAUGCAUAGGCCUAAUAUGAAGUGUUGAAGGGGGAGGCUUCAAAACAUGCACCCUGAUAUACAAGAUUGCAGGAGGGGAACUGGUGGCACAGACACUGGAAAAAUACCAGCACAUCUUCACCCAUGACCUGCAUUUGUGACAUUCCUGCUGCAGUGAAGGACACCUAGGAGAGAGCUCGGGCCUGAUAUGUUUCCUAUGUUUACAGAUGCUAUGUUUAGUAAGUCUGUUGACAAACACCUUGAAUAUAUGAAGAAAAUUCAAUUUUUUGAAGCUGCAAAACAUAUUAAAAUCCUGACAAAAUGAGUUGAAAUAUUGUUUCCCCAUUAAUUAAUCCAAUUUGUUUGCUACGCCACAGUCACAUGCAGCACACUGGCUCUAUAUUUAGAUUUGAUUAUGGCCUGCAUAUUAAUAGUCCAUAC